GUGUGUUCCAGGUAAAUCCGGUUCACUUUAACACUGAGGCGUGAUGACGAGGCACUACGGUGCUGAAGCAACAAAUGCCCUGCUUCCAGGAAAAGCCUCUAAGCAUCAGGUAACAUCAAAUCGUACCCCAAACCGACACAGGUGGUCAGGUAGAGAAUACCAAGGCGCUUGAGAGAACUCGGGUGAAGGAACUAGGCAAAAUGGUGCCGUAACUUCGGGAGAAGGCACGCUGACACGUAGGUGAAGUGAUUUACUCAUGGAGCUGAAGUCAGUCGAAGAUACCAGCUGGCUGCAACUGUUUAUUAAAAACACAGCACUGUGCAAACACGAAAGUGGACGUAUACGGUGUGACGCCUGCCCGGUGCCGGAAGGUUAAUUGAUGGGGUCAGCGCAAGCGAAGCUCCUGAUCGAAGCCCCGGUAAACGGCGGCCGUAACUAUAACGGUCCUAAGGUAGCGAAAUUCCUUGUCGGGUAAGUUCCGACCUGCACGAAUGGCGUAAUGAUGGCCAGGCUGUCUCCACCCGAGACUCAGUGAAAUUGAACUCGCUGUGAAGAUGCAGUGUACCCGCGGCAAGACGGAAAGACCCCGUGAACCUUUACUAUAGCUUGACACUGAACAUUGAGCCUUGAUGUGUAGGAUAGGUGGGAGGCUUUGAAGUGUGGACGCCAGUCUGCAUGGAGCCGACCUUGAAAUACCACCCUUUAAUGUUUGAUGUUCUAACGUGGACCCGUGAUCCGGGUUGCGGACAGUGUCUGGUGGGUAGUUUGACUGGGGCGGUCUCCUCCUAAAGAGUAACGGAGGAGCACGAAGGUUGGCUAAUCCUGGUCGGACAUCAGGAGGUUAGUGCAAUGGCAUAAGCCAGCUUGACUGCGAGCGUGACGGCGCGAGCAGGUGCGAAAGCAGGUCAUAGUGAUCCGGUGGUUCUGAAUGGAAGGGCCAUCGCUCAACGGAUAAAAGGUACUCCGGGGAUAACAGGCUGAUACCGCCCAAGAGUUCAUAUCGACGGCGGUGUUUGGCACCUCGAUGUCGGCUCAUCACAUCCUGGGGCUGAAGUAGGUCCCAAGGGUAUGGCUGUUCGCCAUUUAAAGUGGUACGCGAGCUGGGUUUAGAACGUCGUGAGACAGUUCGGUCCCUAUCUGCCGUGGGCGCUGGAGAACUGAGGGGGGCUGCUCCUAGUACGAGAGGACCGGAGUGGACGCAUCACUGGUGUUCGGGUUGUCAUGCCAAUGGCACUGCCCGGUAGCUAAAUGCGGAAGAGAUAAGUGCUGAAAGCAUCUAAGCACGAAACUUGCCCCGAGAUGAGUUCUCCCUGAGACUUUAGGUCUCCUGAAGGAACGUUGAAGA
rnacentral:rRNA from 1 species